UGGGGAAUAUUGGACAAUGGGGGAAACCCUGAUCCAGCGACGCCGCGUGUGUGAAGAAGGCCUGCGGGUUGUAAAGCACUUUUAGUGGGGAUGAAAUGUGCAGGGCUAACACCUCUGCAUUUUGACCUAACCCACAGAAAAAGCACCGGCUAACUCUGUGCCAGCAGCCGCGGUAAUACAGAGGGUGCAAGCGUUAAUCGGAAUUACUGGGCGUAAAGCGUGCGUAGACGGUUACAUAAGUCGGGUGUGAAAGCCCCGGGCUCAACCUGGGAAUUGCAUUCGAGACUGCGUAGCUAGGGUGCGGAAGAGGGAAGCGGAAUUUCCGGUGUAGCGGUGAAACGCGUAGAUAUCGGAAGGAACACCAGUGGCGAAAGCGGCUUCCUGGUCCAGCACCGACGUUCAGGCACGAAAGCGUGGGGAGCAAACA
rnacentral:rRNA from 1 species